AAAAACUCCGGUGGUGCAAGAUGGACCCGCGUCUGAUUAGCUGGUUGGCGGGGUAAAGGCCCACCAAGGCGACGAUCAGUAGCCGGCCUGAGAGGGUGGACGGCCACAUUGGGACUGAGACACGGCCCAAACUCCUACGGGAGGCAGCAGUGGGGGAUAUUGGACAAUGGGGGGAACCCUGAUCCAGCGACGCCGCGUGAGUGAAGAAGUAUUUCGGUAUGUAAAGCUCUGUCAGCAGGGAAGAAAGCAAUGACGGUACCUGACCAAGAAGCCCCGGCUAACUACGUGCCAGCAGCCGCGGUAAUACGUAGGGGGCAAGCGUUAUCCGGAAUUACUGGGUGUAAAGGGAGCGUAGACGGCUGUGCAAGUCUGGAGUGAAAGGCGGGGGCCCAACCCCCGGACUGCUCUGGAAACUGUAUGGCUGGAGUGCAGGAGAGGUAAGCGGAAUUCCUAGUGUAGCGGUGAAAUGCGUAGAUAUUAGGAGGAACACCAGUGGCGAAGGCGGCUUACUGGACUGUAACUGACGUUGAGGCUCGAAAGCGUGGGGAGCAAACAGGAUUAGAUACCCUGGUAGUCCACGCCGUAAACGAUGAUUACUAGGUGUCGGUGGGUAUGGACCCACCG
rnacentral:rRNA from 1 species